UGGAGCGGUCCUUGGUUCCAGGUGGAAGGUAGGCUGCAUAAACAGCCUAGAAGGUGGGCUUUCUGGACCCACUGAAAUGUUACUAGUGUGACUGGCUGUAACUUAGUAACCAGCUCAAAAAUACAAAAAAGAAAACCAGCCUAACAGGUCCCAGACCGCUUGCACUAAACUUCACAACUAGUUCUGAAGGGUAUGGAGCCUACAUAGAUUCAUAAGAGUCCAGUGUUUCCAAAGGACAUUAAUUUUGAUGUCUCUGAUGAAGGCUUGUGGCUGCCCCUCAUGCUUUACAAAAUAUGACCAAGUCAGAGCUGAAAAGAAAACCCAAAAGAAGAGCCCAUCUUUCUUCUCCUAGAACACUGGGCACCAGAUCACGCCCAGAUGCUAUGG